rnacentral:misc_RNA from 1 species
UCCGGUUUGUCACCGGCAGUCUCCUUAGAGUGCCCAACUAAAUGCUGGCAACUAAGGACAAGGGUUGCGCUCGUUGCGGGACUUAACCCAACACCUCACGGCACGAGCUGACGACGGCCAUGCAGCACCUUGCUUUGUGUCCCGAAGGAAAGUCCCAUCUCUGGAACGGUCACGCGCAUUCUAGCCUAGGUAAGGUUCCUCGCGUAUCAUCGAAUUAAACCACAUGCUCCACCGCUUGUGCGGGCCCCCGUCAAUUCCUUUGAGUUUCGCCCUUGCGGGCGUAGUCCCCAGGCGGGGUGCUUAUUGCGUUAGCGACGGCACCGGAGGGGUCGAUACCCCCGACACCUAGCACCCAUCGUUUACAGCGUGGACUAC